rnacentral:rRNA from 1 species
AUUGAACGCUGGCGGCAGGCCUAACACAUGCAAGUCGAACGAGUGGCGGACGGGUGAGUAAUGUCUGGGAAACUGCCCGAUGGAGGGGGAUAACUACUGGAAACGGUAGCUAAUACCGCAUACCAUCAGAUGAACCCAUAUGGGAUUAGCUUGUAGGUGAGGUAACGGCUCACCUAGGCGACGAUCCCUAGCUGGUCUGAGAGGAUGAUCAGCCAAAAUGGGACUGAGACGCGGCCCAGACUCCUACGGGAGGAAGCAGUGGGGAAUAUUGCACAAUGGGAGCGAGCCUGAUGCAGACAUGCCGCGUGUAUGAAGAAGGCCUUCGGGUUGUAAAGUAAUUUCAGUCGGGAGGCGUUACCGACAGAAGAAGCACCGGCUAACUCCGUGCCAGCCGCCGCGGUAAUAC